UACGUAGGGGGCAAGCGUUAUCCGGAUUUACUGGGUGUAAAGGGAGCGUAGACGGUUAUGCAAGUCAGAAGUGAAAGCCCAAAGCUCAACUUCGGGACUGCUUUUGAAACUGUGUAACUAGAGUGCAGGAGGGGUAAGCGGAAUUCCUAGUGUAGCGGUGAAAUGCGUAGAUAUUAGGAGGAACACCGGCGGCGAAGGCGGCUUACUGGACUGUAACUGACGUUGAGGCUCGGAAGCGUGGGGAGCAAACAGG
rnacentral:rRNA from 1 species